rfam:Anaerococcus lactolyticus ATCC 51172 genomic scaffold SCAFFOLD9, whole genome shotgun sequence.
GAGAACUAACAAUCUAAUAGGUAGAAUGAUGGAGUAACGCCCUAAAAUGCCUACACUGAUACUCCGAUUGGCAAUAAAUAUUAGACUAAUUUAUUGUCAAAAGCUCGGUGAAGUCGGCAGAGAGUAGCCGUAAAUAGCUAUAUAGUUAUACGAAACCUGUUUAGAGGUAAAUGGUGCUACUUAUAUGCCGGGUGUCGAAUAC